CUUCAACGCCCAGAUGCGCCUCGGGGGGCUGACCCAGGCCCCUGGCAACCCAGUGUUGGCUGUGCAGAUUAACCAGGACAAGAAUUUUGCCUUUUUGGAGUUCCGCUCAGUGGACGAGACUACCCAGGCCAUGGCCUUUGAUGGCAUCAUCUUCCAGGGCCAGUCACUAAAGAUCCGCAGGCCUCACGACUACCAGCCGCUUCCUGGCAUGUCAGAGAACCCCUCCGUCUAUGUGCCUGGUGAGUGGGGGAUCCAGUAAGGGCCCCUUUCUCCCCCAAUCCUGUUCCCUUCAGCCCAGCUGGAGUGGCUGAGGAAGUCGUGUAAGUACUGUGGAAGAUAGGUGCCUUUUCCCUGCUUCCCCUAAGUCUCUGUGAGUGGGGUGCUCUCCUGCUGGUAGAGAAGGUGCCUAGGGCCGGGAGAAUGAGCUGUCACCUGCUUGAGGACACACAGCUUGUACGUGGCAGAGCCAGGAUCAGAGCAAAGGUGCUGGGGAAGUGAGGGGCUUGUGGCCUGGACCUCGUGCCUGCUUUGCGGCUGUG
rnacentral:sRNA from 1 species